UAAGGAAUAUUGGUCAAUGGACGCAAGUCUGAACCAGCCAUGCCGCGUGAAGGAUGAAGGUCCUCUGGAUUGUAAACUUCUUUUAUCUGGGACGAAAACGGGAUUUUUAUCUCAAUUGACGGUACCAGAGGAAUAAGCACCGGCUAACUCCGUGCCAGCAGCCGCGGUAAUACGGAGGGUGCGAGCGUUAUCCGGAUUUACUGGGUUUAAAGGGUGCGUAGGUGGGCUUAUAAGUCAGUGGUGAAAUCUCCGAGCUUAACUUGGAAACUGCCGUUGAUACUAUAUAUCUUGAAUGCCGUAGAGGUAAGCGGAAUAUGUCAUGUAGCGGUGAAAUGCUUAGAUAUGACAUGGAACACCAAUUGCGAAGGCAGCUUACUAUGCGGUUAUUGACACUGAGGCACGAAAGCGUGGGUAGCAAACA
rnacentral:rRNA from 1 species